rnacentral:lncRNA from 1 species
GUAGCUCGUAUAGUAAAAAAGGUUGAAUACCACUGCCAUAUAACGUAGUGAUAUUCCCUUAGUUAUGUAUGCUGUUUUUAACAAUCAUAUUAUAUGAUUUGAUUAUGAAUAUUUCCUUUUUAUCUCUUAUUUAAUAAGUUUACUUUUUUGUGUUUGAAAUGCCAUCCCUAUAAAGCACUAGGUCCGAGACAGGUUCCUCGCAUGGCCAAGUCUUAAGGGUUGUACUGCCUUAUUAAACUUGCAUUACGCAUGCCAACAUCUGUUCGGCGUUCUGUCAGAUAAAAAUAACAACCAGUGGGGUGACAAUCGUGAUGACACCCGAAGUAGCAGAGGUCGAUAUCUGGCAGAGCGCGAUAAUGGUUUUCUUUUUUAAAAGCAAGAUGAAAAAAAGAUUAGAAUAAUCUAAACAUAAAAUCGAAAAUAUUGACAAUUAUUUAAUCUUGACGCCCUUUCAGAUUUAGCUUAGGCAAGUCUCUCUCGAUCGCUUUACCUUCAGCAUGAUCUUGAACUGUUCAAUAAAACCAAUUUAUGAGGAUAAUAUUACAGUAGACUGGAAUAACAUUAAAAGUAUAGAUUCGGUACGUAACAAAGAUUUCAUCAUCGAAAAAUGGUAUAUUCAAAAAAUAUAUGUAGCACGUAAUAAUAACGUCAAAAAUAGCUGGUACUGUACUGCGUUCUCUAUCUACAGCACUGCUUACUUAACGACCUACCUGUUUAAUG